rnacentral:pre_miRNA from 1 species
UUUACUCAAUUUUGUAUGGAGUUGGAACGUUUGCCUACGUUUGCCGCUAGGGGCACUGUUCCAACUCCAUACAAAUUUGUGUUA